rnacentral:rRNA from 1 species
ACCAUGCAAGUCGAACGAGAACAGAAGAGAGCUUGCUCUCUUGCUGCUAAGUGGNGCACGGGGUGAGUAAUAUAUAGGUAAUAUGCCUCUUACUAAGGGAUAAUUGUUGGAAACGACUUGUAAUACCUUAUAUGCCUUUUGAACAUAAGUUCGUAAAGGGAAAGAUUUAUCGGUAAGAGAUUAGCCUGUACGGUAUCAGAUAGUUGGUGGGGUAAUGGCCUACCGAGUCUAUGACACCUAACUGGUUUGAGAGGAUGAUCAGUCACACUGGAACUGAGACACGGUCCAGACUCCUACGGGAGGCAGCAGUGGGGAAUAUUGCACAAUGGACGAAAGUCUGAUGCAGCAACGCCGCGUGGAGGAUGACACAUUUCGGUGCGUAAACUCCUUUUAUAUGAGAAGAUAAUGACGGUAUCAUAUGAAUAAGCACCGGCUAACUCCGUGCCAGCAGCCGCGGUAAUACGGGGGGUGCAAGCGUUACUCGGAAUCACUGGGCGUAAAGAGCAUGUAGGCGGGUGAAUAAGUUGGAAGUGAAAUCCUAUAGCUUAACUAUAGAACUGCUUCCAAAACUGUUCACCUAGAGUAUGGGAGAGGUAGAUGGAAUUUCUGGUGUAGGGGUAAAAUCCGUAGAGAUCAGAAGGAAUACCGAUUGCGAAGGCGAUCUACUGGAACAUUACUGACGCUCAGAUGCGAAAGCGUGGGGAGCAAACAGGAUUAGAUACCCUGGUAGUCCACGCCCUAAACGAUGUACACUAGUUGUUGCUAUACUAGAUAUGGCAGUAAUGCAGUUAACACUUUAAGUGUACCGCCUGGGGAGUACGGUCGCAAGAUUAAAACUCAAAGGAAUAGACGGGGACCCGCACAAGCGGUGGAGCAUGUGGUUUAAUUCGACGAUACGCGAAAAAACCUUACCUGGGCCUUGACAUAGUAGGAAUCUUUA